UGUUUAACAUUCAUUUGACUAAAGGAAACCGCAGCAAAUAGGCGUUUUUAUUCGACGACAGAUAGACAAUAAGUAGGCGGUUGGUUAUCUACAAAUAGCCUCAUAAGUUUGAACAUCAUUUAGUCAGGUGGACCUCUUGGUGAAGAUCGCGAAGAUGAAGAACGUCUUUCUAUAUGGUCAUAUUCUUCUGCUCUUGACGUUACUCUAUAAUUUCGCAACUGUAAGAACCGCAAACGAUGACAAGGCAUUAAAACAACUUUUGGAAAAGAUCAAAACUAAGCGAAGAACGAGAGAAUCUGUCCCUCCUCGUCUGUGGAGGAGGCGAAGAGACGCAGAUGAACAUCACGAGCGAUCGAGAAUACCUACAUUAAGUUCAGACGAAGCGAACGAUUUUGCUGGAAUAUUGAGAGAAUAACCCAGACACCAAACGAAUCAUAUACAACAAAAAUAUUGAAAACAUGUACAUCUAAUAUAUUCUAUUUAAUAUUUUCACGCGUGGCCGUCGUUGUAUGCCAAGAAAUCGAACGUAACGUAGUUUGUGUUCAUGGGCGGGACACGCGGGGGCUGUACAGAAAUGUUUCACGAUAAACAUGUGUUCACAAUAAAUUUGAAAUAAAAGUAUGAUAUGUCAA